CUGAAGAGCCGCAUCACAUAAAUAAAGACAGAAUAUUUUGUAAACUCAGAAAAUCUUGCCAGGGGCUCUCUAAUUUUACAGAUUGGGGCCUGGAUUUUUUUGGAAGAUAUAUAAGGGGUAGGGCUAUAGCUUAUAUAAACAAUUUUAACUGAAUGUACAACAAUUUUAGACUCCUUUUUAAAGAUUUUGGUGGUCCUUAAAAGGACUGUUAAUUUUGUCUGUAUCUUUUUCAGCAGUAGAUGAAUGCAGCUAUAUCUUCCUUUGAUUUUGGAACUUUUGAAGAACAGCUUCUGGUUGGUUAACUUGUUUGGACCCAAGUACAUAGAUCUCAGCCACCAACAGUUUGAGUGUCCACCACCACCACACACGUAUGAACUAGUGGGACAUUUAGAGCAGUCACAAGUAUAACAACGCACAGUAGCAUUAAGCAUUCAGGCAGAUCCAGGAUUUCCCUCAACAUUUGUUAAACUGUAGGAGGUGCCGUCUUGACUGGUUUUAGCUACAAGUGAGAACUUCUCUGCAUCUAGCCUCUUCCAUUGUAUAUUAAAUGAACUUAGCUGACUGUUUAAAGACUAAUUCUCAUGAUUUAUACCCUUGUUAUGGGGUAUACUUCUUUGCAUAUUUAAUUUUUAUACGAUUUUUUUUUAAUUAAAAAAUUAAUUAUAAUUAAUUUUAUUUUCAGCAAAAUUUUUUUUAACAAGAUUUCCAUACAAAUAAUGAAUUUAUCUACCAUGUGCAAUUAACAGAAUGUAAAUAUCUUUUAAAAUAAAAAAAUUUUGCUGAUUUUAAGAA